rnacentral:rRNA from 1 species
UACGUAGGGUGCAAGCGUUGUCCGGAUUUAUUGGGCGUAAAGAGCUCGUAGGUGGUUUGUUACGUCUGCUGUGAAAACCUAGGGCUUAACCCUGGGCCUGCAGUGGAUACGGGCAGACUAGAGUUAGGUAGGGGAGAAUGGAAUUCCCGGUGUAGCGGUGAAAUGCGCAGAUAUCGGGAGGAACACCGGUGGCGAAGGCGGUUCUCUGGGCCUUACCUGACACUGAGGAGCGAAAGCGUGGGGAGCGAACAGG